AAACCAUGAGUGGCCAGCGUGUGGGGAAAGACUCCCUGGGAAGGAUGACCUCAGCAAAUACACCCACACACACUGCUGAAGGACCCCAUGAAUGCCAAGAAUGUGGUAAAAGGUUCAGAUACCAGAGUGACCUUAACAGCCACUCCCUUACACACACUGGUGAAAGACCUCAUGAAUGCCAAGAGUGUGACAAAAGAUUCAAUACAAAGAGUAACCUCAAGACACACACCCUUAUACACACUGGUGAAAGACCUCAUGAAUGCCAAGAGUGUGGCAAAAGGUUCAAUACAAAGGGUCACCUCAAGACCCACACCCUUACACACACUGGUGAAAGGCCUCAUGAAUGUGGGGUUUGUGGAGAAAGGUUUACACAGAAGAGUAGCCUCAACACACACAUGCGUACACACACUGGUGAAAGACCUCAUGAAUGCCAAGAGUGUGACAAAAGAUUCAAUACAAAGAGUAACCUCAAGACACACACCCUUAUACACACUGGUGAAAGACCUCAUGAAUGCCAAGAGUGUGGCAAAGGGUUCAAUACAAAGGGUCACCUCAAGACCCACACCCUUACACACACUGGUGAAAGGCCUCAUGAAUGUGGGGUUUGUGGAGAAAGGUUUACACAGAAGGGUAGCCUCAACACACACAUGCGUACACACACUGGUGAAAGACCUCAUGAAUGUGGGGUUUGUGGAGAAAAGUUUACACGUAAGGGUAACCUUAAUGCACACAUGCGUGUACACACUGGUGAAAGGCCUCAUGAAUGUGGGGUUUGUGGACAAAGGUUUACAUAUAAGCAUAGCCUUAACACACACAUGCGUACACACACUGGUGAAAGGCCUUAUGAGUGUGGGGUUUGUGGAGAAAGGUUUACACAGAAGAGUACCCUUAACACACACAUGCGUACACACACUGGUGAAAGGCCUUAUGAGUGUGGGGUUUGCAGAGAAAGGUUUACACAUAAGGGUACCCUCAACACACACACGCGUACACACACUGGUGAAAGACCUCAUGAGUGUGGGGUUUGUGGUAAGACAUUCAUUACGAAGACCCAGCUCAAGGUGCACACUUAUGAACACACUGGUGAAAGGCCUCAUGAGUGUCUGGAAUGUGGUAAAAGGUUCAAAGAGAAGCACACCCUGGAGUGUCACACCUUCAGACACACUGGCCUGAGAGAGUUCAAGUGUGAUGUGUGUGGGAAGCACUUCAAGAUGAAGGGGGACAUUGCCCGGCACAUGAAGACUCACUUCUGAGGUGCUGUGUGUGGGGUAUAGGUGGGGGCUGAGAUGGUGGUGGUGGUGGUGGAGGGCAGUGUGUGGCAUGAAGGAGCACACUGACCCAUUGUAACAAGUAGUGUGUGUGUGUGUGCCAGUGUGGUGUGCUCCCUGUUCUCACUCCAGGCUGAGGUGGUGGUGGUGGUGGAGGGCAGUGUGUGGUGUAAAGGAGCACACUGACCCAUUGUAACAAUUAGUGUGUGUGUGCCUGUGUGGUGUGCUCCCUGUUCUCACCCCCGGCUGAAGUGGUGGUGGUGGUUGUGGUGAAGGGCAGUGUGUGGCAUGAAGGAGCACACUGACCCAUUGUAACAAGUAGUGUGUGUGUGCCAGUGUAGUGUGCUCCCUGUUCUCACCCCCGGCUGCCUGUGGCUUGUGGAUGCUGUCCUCUGUUUAACCCUUAAUGGCAUAAGUUGUCUUUUGUUGGUUGGAUAAUUGCUCAUUGCUAUUUUUCUCUUUGUCAGCACUUCAACAGUUUACACUAAGUCUUCUAAGUGUGCCUUUCCUGCAGCUCUCCAGUCUGGCGUGUGGGACAGGCAGGCCCACGGUACAGCUGCAAAGCCCCCGCUGGAAUGACCAUUUUGUCAUGUAGUACAGUGUUCGCUUACAGAAAUAAGUGUCCAGUCCCAAAGAUAAGUGCAAAUUUAUCUUAGAAUAUUAAUGUGUGUGUGUGUGAAUAUUAAUUAUGCCAGGUUGAGCACCAGAUAUAUAUAAAUGGUUAUACAUGUCAUCGUUAAAACGCCUUUAGAUUUAAGAGUCUGUAAAUGGUUAUUGAUUCCAUCCUCCUGUUUGCAAAAGUGGAAAGGUUUGGUCAUUCACUUUGACAAACUUUGUUGAAUCGUUCAGUGUGUUCUCCAUUUUGUCUAUGUAAUCCUUCCUAUUGAGUAAAACAACUCCUUUACCCUUAUCAGGUUUGCAUACAAUAAGGUCUUGAUCUGGGGCGAGUUUCCGUAAAAAGGCAACUUCAUCUUCGUCUAGAGAUUGACAAAAUGUGGGAUUAGAUUAGAAAAUGGAGAGGGCAAUAUGUUUGUAUGUUUGUAUUGUUUUAUCGUGAUUUUAUAUCCCUUUCUAGUCCUGAUGAUGACUCAUGGACGAGUCAAAACGUUGACAAAUAAAAAUGAUCGUGGCAAU